rnacentral:rRNA from 1 species
CCUACGGGGGGCAGCAGUGAGGAAUAUUGGUCAAUGGGCGCGAGUCUGAACCAGCCAAGUAGCGUGAAGGAUGACUGCCCUACGGGUUGUAAACUUCUUUUAUACAGGAGUAAAGUGAGGCACGUGUGACUUGUUGUAUGUAUUUUAUGAAUAAGGAUCGGCUAACUCCGUGCCAGCAGCCGCGGUAAUACGGAGGAUCCGAGCGUUAUCCGGAUUUAUUGGGUUUAAAGGGUGCGUAGAUGGGUUGUUAAGUCAGUUGUGAAAGUUUGCGGCUCAACCGUAAAAUUGCAAGUGAUACUGGUGGACUAGAGGACAGUUGAGGUAGGCGGAAUUCGUGGUGUAGCGGUGAAAUGCUUAGAUAUCAUGAAGAACACCGAUUGCGAAGGCAGCUUACCAAACUGUCACUGACGUUGAUGCACGAAAGUGUGGGUAGCAAACAGGAUUAGAUACCCGAGUAGUC